UACGAAGGGGGCUAGCGUUGUUCGGAAUUACUGGGCGUAAAGGGCGCGUAGGCGGCCGCCUAAGUCAGACGUGAAAUCCCUCGGCUCAACCGGGGAACUGCGUCUGAUACUGGGUGGCUUGAAUCCGGGAGAGGGAUGCGGAAUUCCAGAUGUAGCGGUGAAAUGCGUAGAUAUCUGGAGGAACACCGGUGGCGAAGGCGGCAUCCUGGACCGGCAUUGACGCUGAGGCGCGAAAGCCAGGGGAGCAAACGGG
rnacentral:rRNA from 1 species